CGAACCGUGCGAACGUUGUUCGGAAUCACUGGGCUUAAAGGGCGCGUAGGCGGGCUCACAAGUCAGGGGUGAAAUCCCACGGCUCAACCGUGGAAGUGCCUUUGAUACUGUGGGGCUUGAGGGAGGUAGGGGCGUGCGGAACUUCCGGUGGAGCGGUGAAAUGCGUAGAUAUCGGAAGGAACACCGGUGGCGAAAGCGGCGCGCUGGACCUCUACUGACGCUGAGGCGCGAAAGCCAGGGGAGCAAACGGGAUUAGAUACCCCGGUAGUCCUGGCCCUAAACGAUGGGUACUAGGUAGUGGACUUACAUGGGUUCACUGCCGAAGCAAAAGUGAUAAGUACCCCGCCUGGGGAGUAUGGUCGCAAGGCUG
rnacentral:rRNA from 1 species